rnacentral:rRNA from 1 species
CAGUCGCCACGGUAAUACAGAGGCCUCAAGCGUUGUUCGGAAUCACUGGGCGUAAAGGGUGCGUAGGCGGCGCGGAAAGUCAGGGGUGAAAUCCCGGAGCUCAACUCCGGAACUGCCUUUGAUACUCCCGCGCUUGAGAACUGGAGGGGACAUCGGAAUUCACGGUGGAGCAGUGAAAUGCGUGGAUAUCGUGAGGAACACUAGUGGCGAAGGCGGAUGUCUGGACAGUAUCUGACGCUGAGGCACGAAGGCCAGGGGAGCGAACGGGAUUAGAUACCCCCGUAGUCCCUGUCUCUUAUAC